rnacentral:rRNA from 1 species
AUGGGGCGAGCCCAACAACAAACACUGACACAAGGAGAACACCACCCGGUUCCCAGACCAGACCAACUCCUCCUCCCUCCCUUCCUCUCUCCCCGCCCCCACUCCUCCUUCCCUCCCGGGGAGGACAGGACAGCAGAGCCCGUCCACCACCAACCCACCGCCACCCGCGUCGCCAUGGCGCAGCCCGGGCGAGGACGGGACCCGGAGCUGUUCGCGGAGCUGUGGCGCGCCUGCGCCGGGCCGCUGGUGGAGGUGCCGCAGCGCGGCGAGAGGGUCUUCUACUUCCUCCAGGGCCACCUGGAGCAGCUGCAAGAGCCGACGGACUCGGCGCUGCUGGCCGAGCAAAUCAAGAUGUUCCAGGUGCCCUACAAGAUCCUCUGCAAGGUCGUCAACGUCGAGCUCAAGGCCGAGGCGGAGACGGACGAGGUGUACGCCCAGAUCACCCUGCAGCCGGAAUCUGACCAAGACAACCUGCCCCUCAUCUGCGACCCAAUUCUGCCGGAGACGCCCCGGCCAGUGGUGCACACCUUCUGCAAGAUCCUGACGCCGUCCGACACCAGCACCCACGGCGGCUUCUCCGUGCUCCGCCGCCACGCCAACGAGUGUCUCCCGCCGCUGGACAUGGCGAUGCCGACACCGACUCAGGAGAUCAUCUCCAAGGACCUCCAUGGAUCUGAGUGGAGGUUUAAGCACAUCUACAGAGGUCAACCCCGCAGGCACCUUCUGACGACCGGAUGGAGCACAUUCGUCACAUCAAAGAAGCUGAUGGCUGGCGAUGCCUUUGUCUACCUAAGGAGUGAGACAGGAGAGCAGCGUGUCGGAGUGAGGCGCCUUGUGCAGAAGCAAAGCACGAUGCCGGCGUCCGUUAUAUCAAGCCAGAGCAUGCAUCUCGGGGUGCUUGCAAGUGCAUCUCAUGCUCUCAAGACCAACUCCAUUUUCGUGGUCUACUACAGGCCCAGGUUAAGCCAGAGCCAGUACAUUGUCAGCGUGAACAAGUACCUUCAAGCUAGUAAGACUGGAUUUACUGUGGGCAUGAGGUUCAGGAUGAACUUCGAAGCAGAAGAUGUCCCUGUGAAGAAGUUUUUUGGGACUAUAGUUGGUGAUGGUGAUCUUUCUCCACAGUGGUCAGGUUCUGAAUGGAAGUCACUCAAGGUCCAAUGGGAUGACUCGGUCGCAAUUUGCAACGGCCCUGAGAGGGUUUCUCCUUGGGAAAUUGACUCAUCUGAUGGCUCCUCGCCUGCCAUCAGUGCACUGCUGCAAUCAUCGGCGAAGAACAAGCGUCCAAGGGAGACAAAUGAAAACUUUGAUCUUCCAUCACAGGAGCCGACUCAGGAGUUUUGGCUGUCUGGAAUGACACAGCAGCAUGAGAGGACAUAUGUUGGUUCUAGUGACCCCAACCGUAUCUCUGGGUAUCAUCAAAUUCUUUGGCCAAGCAGUGAACCCGCAGGGUAUGGUGCCAUGAGCAGCAGUUCGGUUUGUCAAACUCCAUUGGGGCUUGGUGAUGGUUGGCCCAAGGAUUUCAACCCUUCAAGCCAGGGGAUCUCUCCUACCCUGUCAGAGAUUACUCAGAAGCUGAAUCGGGUUGCCAGCAGUGAAGGAAGAACUCCUCCUCCUUGGGCUACUGCACUUUGUGGUGGUUACCGGGCUGAGGAACCUACUUCCAAGCUGUCCUGCAACACUACUCUGCCUCUGCCUGAACAGGUUGCACCAUAUCUGCCCAAAGUAGCUGAAAAGGCUAAGGAACCCGGUGUGGUUCGUCUGUUUGGUGUGAAUUUGAUGGAGAACACCAACAAUGCUGCUGCUCCUACUGCUGGCAACGCAAGUGCCGGAGCCGGAGAAACUUCAGCCAGAGUUGCUGGUUCUGUUGAAGGCUCUGGUCAGCUGUCAGCAUUUUCAAAAGUAACAAAAGUCGCGAACGAGAGCCCCCGAGAAAUCCAAAGCCAACAGAAUAAUGCUGGAAGGAACCGUGUGAAGGUUCAAAUGCAUGGAAAUGCUGUGGGUAGAGCUGUGGAUCUAGCAAGUCUGGAUGGGUAUGAGGGGCUGACCAGUGAACUGGAACAGAUGUUCGAGAUAAAGGACAUCAAACAGAACUUUAAAGUGGCAUUCACCGACAACGAAGGUGACACCAUGAAAGUCGGAGAUGAUCCCUGGAUGGAGUUUUGCCGUAUGGUGAGGAAGAUAGUGAUCUAUCCCAUUGAAGAUGACAAGAACAUGGAUCCUCGUCAGACGUCGGUCUUAGCUGCUGCUCCAGAUCCGGAUCCCAAGGCUAACCUUUAG